rnacentral:lncRNA from 1 species
AAUACAUGUACCUCAAUAAUUUUAUCAAGGGCAUGUUUUGUGCUAGAUACUACUCUUUAUGUUAGGAAUAUAAGCAAUUGUAUAAGAUACUUACAGAUUGCAGUAAGUGGUAAAAAAUAUAACAUGAAGAGGGAAUAGUGAUGAGAAGGUAACUAUAUAGGGGAGUGGUCAGGGAGUGCUUCACUGAAGAUGUAAAAUAUGAACUGAAACCUAUAUCCUGAUUUAAAAUAGCUUUGCAGAUGUUUUAGGUAAAUAGCAGCAAGCGAACAAUACCAAAGUUUUUAUUUUUGUAAUUUGAAAUCAAUGUGCAAGCCAGAGCUUCUUUAGGAAAGACCAUUCCUGAGAGAACAACAGGAAGAAAUAUGAAUGUUAAACAUGUGGUGCCGUGUGGAAGCAAAGCUCCAUAAUUAAUCUAUAGAGCCAUCACCACUGUCAAAAGCAGAAAGGCCCCAGAGGAAAUAAUUUUUGUAUAGAAUGAUGGCAGCAUUAGUGACAGCAGUAAUGAUAAGACACUGAAAAAGGGAAUCAGAGCUAUUUCCAUGAAUUAAUGUCUUAAUCCCCACAACAAUGAGGUCGUGGUCAUCUAGUUGUAGAAUGACUCCUGCCUGCUACAUUUCCCCAGAUACCCAGGACCUUCAUGCUGUCACUCUCCAUGACCUGACCAACAUCUAUUUUGAGAAAUUAUUUUAUAUACUCAUUCAAACAGAAUAGUACAUUACAGAUUCUGUCUGAGCAAAGAGGAGCAGCAAGCUGGUAAACCUGAAAUACUCAUCCAAAGAAACCAACGUCGUCAACAAUUCUGUGAAAAAUGUG